rnacentral:rRNA from 1 species
AGUGAACGCUGGCGGUAGGCCUAACACAUGCAAGUCGAACGGCAGCACAGUAAGAGCUUGCUCUUACGGGUGGCGAGUGGCGGACGGGUGAGGAAUACAUCGGAAUCUACUUUUUCGUGGGGGAUAACGUAGGGAAACUUACGCUAAUACCGCAUACGACCUACGGGUGAAAGCAGGGGAUCUUCGGACCUUGCGCGAUUGAAUGAGCCGAUGUCGGAUUAGCUAGUUGGCGGGGUAAAGGCCCACCAAGGCGACGAUCCGUAGCUGGUCUGAGAGGAUGAUCAGCCACACUGGAACUGGGACACGGUCCAGACUCCUACGGGAGGCAGCAGUGGGGAAUAUUGGACAAUGGGCGCAAGCCUGAUCCAGCCAUACCGCGUGGGUGAAGAAGGCCUUCGGGUUGUAAAGCCCUUUUGUUGGGAAAGAAAAUCAGCAGGUUAAUACCCCGCUGUUCUGACGGUACCCAAAGAAUAAGCACCGGCUAACUUCGUG